ACCUGAAAUCAAGCAAGAUCACCCGCUGAACUUAAGCAUAUCAGUAAGCGGAGGAAAAGAAACUAACAAGGAUUGCCUUAGUAGUGGCGAAUGAACCGGCAAUAGCUCAAAGUGUAAAUCUGAGGCAUCAAGUCUUAGAAUUGUAAUCUAUAGGCCUUUUAGGGAAGCCACGGUCCUAGCAUAAGUUCCUUGAAAAGGGAUGCCAAAGAGGGUAAAAGCCCCGUAUUUGGUUAGGACUGGGUGUACCGAAGGGUUCCAAGAGUCGGGUUGUUUGGGAUUGCAGCCUAAAAUGGGAGAUAAACUUCUUCUAAAGCUAAAUAUUUAUGGGAAACCGAUAGCAAACAAGUACUACGAAGGAAAGAUGAAAAGAACUUUGAAAAGAGGGUUAAAAGACUUGAAAUCGUUGAGGAGAAAAGCGGUAGAAGAGAAAUGAUUUCAUUUAGAAGUAUGUAGUUAUGUAGGUGUCUUCUGCGGUAAUGGUACUUCAUAGGGCCUAGCUGUAGACCGGCGUCGCAUUGCUGCUUUUUCUGGAUGAAGUGCAAAAUGAGGUCUCGCUUGCGGAAACGUCUCUAGGGAGGACUCUGGCCUUGACGCUGGAAGCCCUGGUCUCCAA
rnacentral:rRNA from 2 species